GUUUGAUCAAACGUCCAUGGAAAUACAUAAACCACAUACCGGUCGAACCGGUUUCUCCUCAGGAAUGCAAAUACAUAAUCAAUUUCAUCAAUCAAUCAACACACAGCUCGAAUCGAAGGAAAAGAAAAAAGUGAUAGCUUCGGCGAUUUGCAGGGGCUCCAAUGGCGAAACAGAUAUAGCCAAUCGUCGUGGAAGGUGAUAGGUGAAAAGAAUCCAGCUCAAGAACGCUUGCAUCAUCAGAUUUCCUUAACUGCCAUGGAUGAGCAUCUUCACGACAGUCGCGAGAUUGCCGGAUUUUCCAAUCAAUUCCUGCAAACAGAAACUAUACAGCACCUGUAGAUGAUGAAUUCACCAUGGAAUUGUACAAAGAUUAGUAGAAAAAUGCUUAAUUGAUGAGAAAGUGCUAUCAAAAAUUUUUGGUAAAAUGGGAGAAGAAUGAGAGAAUGGCUUGGGAUUUUCUGUUAUGCUCUGGAAAAUGAUUAACCAACCUGCAAAAUUCUGUUAGAUUAACCUUAUAUAUGGAAUACUUAAUCCAAAUUUAAUUAUAGUUAAACAAAAAUGGAUUAGUGUAA